rnacentral:lncRNA from 1 species
UAAAAAAAAAAAAAAAAACUGCUGUAACAAAUACCAUGAACACACUAGCUUAAAGGAACAAGCUCAUCCUGUUGAUUCUGGAGGCUAGAUGCCCAAAAGCUAUGUGUUUGCAGGUUUGUUCCUUUGGGAGACUCUUUGAGGCCCCCCAGCCCCUGGUGGCUGCCACAGUCCUUAGUGCAUUCUGGCUUGUUUGUUUGUUAUUUUUGGUACCUGGGAUGGAAUCCAGGUUGCUUUGCCACUGAGCUACAUCCCCAACCCUUUUUAUGUUUUAUAUUUUGUGAGAGGGUCUUGCUGAAUUGUUGAGACUGCCUUGAACUUGAGAUCCUCCUGCCUCAGCCUCCUGGAAUGGUGCACCACUGUGCCUGGUACUCCAGCUUUUAAAUGUAUUGUUCUAACCUUUUCCUCAUCUUCAUAUGAAUGUGGCAUUUUCUUCCUUCUUUCUGUCUCUCUUGAGGACCUUAGUCAUCAGAUUUAGGACCCACAUUGAUAAUGGUGUGACCUUACUUCAAUUAUAUCUACAAAAACUUUUUUUUUUUUUUUUUUUUUUACAAAAACCCUCUUAAUGGCUGUUGACCUGUUUUGGAUUUUAGAUAACAGAAAAAGGGCUGGCCCAAUUCAAAAUGUUUUCUAUAAAGGAUAAAAGCCUUCUUUAAAAGCCCCCCACACACCCCCUUUGUUGUGCUGAGGAUGGAACUUGGGGCUGCUCAGCUGGGCAAGUGCUCCACACUGAGUUACACCCCCAGGCCCAGGGUUCAGGUUGACCCAGCAAUUGCACCUGGAGAGAUCCGUUUCUUCGGGCCAUUGCACAGUACUGCUCUUUCAUCUCCACUCUCUCUACCACAGUAGAGUUGACAUCCUUCAUGAAGGUCCUUCCAAGGACCAGACGCUUCCAAACUUGAUAACUGCCGAGAAUAAAGCAGUUCCCACCUGUGGAACUCGCAUUCUUACGGGUCCAAACUAGUCUGAUGGAGUAAAUUCUGUGGAGAACAAAAUAGUGGAGGAGGAGGGAAAAGGAUUGGGGCAACGGGUCAGAGUAACAUGGGAGCAGAAAUCCCAAGGGAACUGGGGGGUCGGGUGAUAGAAUUGCAGGUGGGGACAGGUGGUUCUGCCCUCCGGUGUCUGUUAGUGUUUUCACUCUGGCAAUAAACUGUAUUUUAAACAGUAGGCCCUGAGCCCUGGAGCUGCUGGCUCCAAGUUCUCUCCCAGUCCUUCUCCCCAGGGUCCACCUCAGGGAGGAGCUGGGGCUGCCGGAGCCCAGACACUGGUAUGGCAUAUGACACGGGUGCUGCCCCCAUCUGUAGAGGGAGAUGUGUGACUCAGAAUACAAGUGUGCCCUCCUCGGUGCCUCCUGGGGCUAUUCUCUGGUUCCAGCACACAGCUGCUCUCCUGCAGCUUGCUGGGAGGUGGCUGGCUGUGAAGGCUUUUUGCCAGCUCAUUUGCAGGUGCUCUUUAUUUUUUGCUUAAGGAUAAUAAAAUAUUA